rnacentral:rRNA from 1 species
CGGGAGUAACGCGUGAGGAACCUAGCCUCAAGAGGGGGACAACAGUUGGAAACGACUGCUAAUACCGCAUAAGCCCACAGCUCGGCAUCGAGCAGAGGGAAAAGGAGUGAUCCGCUUUGAGAUGGCCUCGCGUCCGAUUAGCUAGUUGGUGAGGUAAUGGCCCACCAAGGCGACGAUCGGUAGCCGGACUGAGAGGUUGAACGGCCACAUUGGGACUGAGACACGGCCCAG